GACGAACGCUGGCGGCGUGCUUAACACAUGCAAGUCGAACGGAAAGGCCCCUUUGGGGGUACUCGAGUGGCGGACGGGUGAGUAACACGUGAGUAACCUGCCCUUGACUUCGGGAUAACUUCAGGAAACUGGGGCUAAUACCGGAUAGGAAUCCUUGCUGCAUGGUGGGGGUUGGAAAGCUUCGGCGGUUUUGGAUGGACUCGCGGCUUAUCAGCUUGUUGGUGGGGUAGUGGCUUACCAAGGCGUUGACGGGUAGCCGGCCUGAGAGGGCGACCGGCGACAUUGGGACUGAGGGACGGCCCAGACUCCUACGGGAGGGAGCAGUGGGGAAGACUGCACAAUGGGCGGAGGCCUGAUGCAGCAACUCCGCGUGCCGGAUGACGGCCUUCGUGGUGUAAACCGCUUUCAGCAGGAGCGAAGCUUGUGGUGACGGUACCUGCAGAAGAAGCACCGGCUAACUACGUG
rnacentral:rRNA from 1 species